rnacentral:lncRNA from 1 species
ACUUCACUUCACUUCACAGAUAUCAAAAUAUGAAGAUCCACAUUUGUGAAAUAGUACUUUAUGAGCUUCUUUAUUACGUAUUAAGUAUCAAGAUCUAGCCACUGGUCAAUCUACUACCGCGAUUUUUGUGAGGCGCAGAAACAAUAUUUUGAUAUCUCUACCACAACUGCUAACGAUAGUCUCUGUAAUUUGCACGUGUGCUGUGGUCACAGGAACUGCCGAUGCUACAGUCGUUUCUCACCUGCAAUCCUCAUGCAAGAAAAUGCUGCCUUUCUACUAGAAGUUAGUGAGAGUAAAGACGUUAUUUUUUUUCACCAGGUAAAUUCAUGGAUCCCUGAAUUCUACCUCUGCACCUGCAAGGGGUCUGAGGAUGCCAGGUUUGGGGCCCUGUUAAUCUAGUGGUAUUUCCACACUCUGUGCUGCUUUGCAGUCAGCCAGGACUGCUGAGAGCCUCAGCAACCCUGCUGAGAAGACACCACUGGCCAGGGGUUGCUGUCCUGUCUCGUUUUGUGAUUGAGUGCAUGCUUCUUCAGCUUUUCCGCAUCAUCCGAGAGGGUACGGUGAUGGUGAUGGCAUGUAGCGAUGAAGCAGUAAAUAAAGGCGGGAGAGAAGAGUGGUCAGGAGCACGGUCGGGGUGAUGGGGCGGGGGUUGGCACAGGGGAUCAGAUUCACAAUCAGAUGACCCCCUGCCCUCCACUCAUCAGCUGUGUGUCCUCAGGCAGGUCAAUAAGCAAUCAAGACUCGGCUCUCUCAUCUGUGCAAUGGGCUGAAGCAUACGCCCUCAUGGGCUGGCUCUGAGGACCCAGUGAGACAAGGGAUGGAAAGUUCUGGAACAAUGCUGGUGCAUGGGGAACACUCAGUAAAACACAACGGUCUGAGAGCCACCUUGCCCUUUCACUGUUUACCGAGUGCCUCUCUCCAAAAAGGAGAUUGCAACGGGAUAGCUUUUGAAUCAGAGUGUUCCAGUCUCCUGCUUAUUGCUGUCACCCAGAAUUCCACUCUAGGAAGUGGCUAGUCACAGCUGGGAGGGGCUGGUGCCUCUGGGGAGCCUCAGAAAGUUUCCCUCUUCUUCCUGGCCCAGUCCAAGCUGAUGAGUUUGGGGAGCUGAUGAGUUUAACCAUUGGUUCCAUGGCUUUUCUUUUCUUUUUGCUUCCUGCCUCCCCCAUGGGGUUUUUUUUUUUUUUUUUUUUAAUUGUCCNNNNNNNNNNNNNNNNNNNNNNNNNNNNNNNNNNNNNNNNNNNNCAAGAGCGUGAGCUUCUCUUGUUUCCCAGGACAGGUUUGGGCCAAGACAAACCUUGGUGAUGCCAACAGCAGUUGCUUAAACAGUGGAGCUCAGAGCUGGCUUCCCGGCCUGGCUUGCAGGGAUCUGUUUGAACUUUCUCCUCUCUCCUUCCACCCAGUGAUUAAAGGAA